UACAGAGGGGGCAAGCGUUAUUCGGAAUUAUUGGGCGUAAAGGGCGCGUAGGCGGCUUGGCAAGUGGAUGGUGAAAUCCCUCGGCUUAACCGAGGAACUGCCAUCCAGACUGCUUUGCUUGAGGCCGGGAGAGGUGAGUGGAAUUCCCAGUGUAGCGGUGAAAUGCGUAGAUAUUGGGAGGAACACCAGUGGCGAAGGCGGCUCACUGGACCGGUUCUGACGCUGAUGCGCGAAAGCGUGGGGAGCAAACGGGG
rnacentral:rRNA from 1 species